rnacentral:rRNA from 1 species
CAAAGAGGGGGACAACAGUUGGAAACGACUGCUAAUACCGCAUAAGCCCACGACCCGGCAUCGGGUAGAGGGAAAAGGAGCAAUCCGCUUUGAGAUGGCCUCGCGUCCGAUUAGCUAGUUGGUGAGGUAACGGCCCACCAAGGCGACGAUCGGUAGCCGGACUGAGAGGUUGAACGGCCACAUUGGGACUGAGACACGGCCCAGACUCCUACGGGAGGCAGCAGUGGGGAAUAUUGCACAAUGGGGGAAACCCUGAUGCAGCGACGCCGCGUGGAGGAAGAAGGUCUUCGGAUUGUAAACUCCUGUUGUUGAGGAAGAUAAUGACGGUACUCAACAAGGAAGUGACGGCUAACUACGUGCCAGCAGCCGCGGUAAAACGUAGGUCACAAGCGUUGUCCGGAAUUACUGGGUGUAAAGGGAGCGCAGGCGGGAAGACAAGUUGGAAGUGAAAUCCAUGGGCUCAACCCAUGAACUGCUUUCAAAACUGUUUUUCUUGAGUAGUGCAGAGGUAGGCGGAAUUCCCGGUGUAGCGGUGGAAUGCGUAGAUAUCGGGAGGAACACCAGUGGCGAAGGCGGCCUACUGGGCACCAACUGACGCUGAGGCUCGAAAGUGUGGGUAGCAAA